rnacentral:rRNA from 1 species
GGGUCUUGGGAUAUUUGGGGUUAAGUGUCCUUGGGUUUGAAUAGUACUAGGCUGGGUGACCUCCCGGGAAGUCCAAAUUCAUGAGCUU